rnacentral:rRNA from 1 species
AGUGAACGCUGGCGGUAGGCCUAACACAUGCAAGUCGAACGGCAGCACAGUAAGAGCUUGCUCUUACGGGUGGCGAGUGGCGGACGGGUGAGGAAUACAUCGGAAUCUACUUUUUCGUGGGGGAUAACGUAGGGAAACUUACGCUAAUACCGCAUACGACCUACGGGUGAAAUCAGGGGAUCUUCGGACCUUGCGCGAUUGAAUGAGCCGAUGUCGGAUUAGCUAGUUGGCGGGGUAAAGGCCCACCAAGGCGACGAUCCGUAGCUGGUCUGAGAGGAUGAUCAGCCACACUGGAACUGAGACACGGUCCAGACUCCUACGGGAGGCAGCAGUGGGGAAUAUUGGACAAUGGGCGCAAGCCUGAUCCAGCCAUACCGCGUGGGUGAAGAAGGUCUUCGGGUUGUAAAGCCCUUUUGUUGGGAAAGAAAGGCAGCAGGUUAAUACCCCGCUGUUCUGACGGUACCCAAAGAAUAAGCACCGGCUAACUUCGUG